rnacentral:misc_RNA from 1 species
GAGCAAUUCUUUUUCUAAUUUCUCAGAAUCAUCGUACGAAUACGAUGAUAAGGAUUGUUCCACCGUCACGACUUCGGAUCGGGAUGAGCCCCUGAAUCCGGGUCAUAGGAACAACUCGUUUAACGGGUUAUUGGGUUUCACGUUCGGGUCCAAGAAGAUGAGGAAGAAGAAACCCUUUUGUCAGGAAAAAGCAAUUGUCGGGUUGGCUCUAUUGGUGAUCGGUUUUGUCGGGAUGAAUUGGUGGAUGCUUUCCCGGAUCCAGAACUCGGGUCGGG